rnacentral:rRNA from 1 species
AUUGAACGCUGGCGGCAUGCUUUACACAUGCAAGUCGAACGGUAACAUAAGAAAGCCUGCUUUCUUGAUGACGAGUGGCGAACGGGUGAGUAAUACAUCGGAACGUACCCUGUAGUGGGGGAUAACUACUCGAAAGAGUGGCUAAUACCGCAUACAACCUGAGGGUAAAAGUGGGGGACCGCAAGGCCUCACGCUAUAGGAGCGGCCGAUGGAAGAUUAGGUAGUUGGUGGGGUAAAGGCCUACCAAGCCGACGAUCUUUAGCGGGUCUGAGAGGACGAUCCGCCACACUGGGACUGAGACACGGCCCAGACUCCUACGGGAGGCAGCAGUGGGGAAUUUUGGACAAUGGGCGAAAGCCUGAUCCAGCAAUGCCGCGUGAGUGAAGAAGGCCUUCGGGUUGUAAAGCUCUUUUGUUUGGGAAGAAAUCCUUAAGGCUAAUAUCCUUGGGGGAUGACGGUACCAAAAGAAUAAGCACCGGCUAACUACGUGCCAGCAGCCGCGGUAACAC